CUGCCAGUAGUCAUAUGCUUGUCUCAAAGAUUAAGCCAUGCAUGUCUAAGUAUAAACCGCUUGUGCAGCAAUGUACAAAACGGGUGAAACUGCGAAUGGCUCAUUAAAUCAGCAAUCGUUUAUUUGAUUGUGCGCUUUUGUGGUGUUUGGCUGGUGGGUUCGCCUAUUGGUCAAAGUCCGCAAAUGGCUGCAUGGAUAACCGUGGUAAUUCAAGAGCUAAUACAUGAACAAAAAAAAACAAAGGGUCGACUUUUCGCAAGAGAGGAAGAUCAGCAUUUAUUAGAUACAAACGCAAAACCGGAACUCUGUCGCAAGACAGAUCCUUAAUAAGUUGGCGAUUCAUAAUGACUGCGCGAAUCGCAUGGCACUUGCUCUCGGGCAAGAUUAUAGCUGGCGAUGGAUCAUUCAAAUUUCUGACCCAUCAACUUUCGAUGGUUGGAUCGAGGCCAACCAUGGUGAUGACGGGUAACGGAGAAUUGGGGUUCGAUUCCGGAGAGGGAGCCUGGAGAAACGGCUCCCACUUCCAAGGAAGGCAGCAGGCGCGCAAAUUGCCCAAUCCUGACACAGGGAGGCAGUGACAAGAAAUAACAAUGCAGGACCCUUGAAAUACAGGGACUGCAAUUGGAAUGAGCACAAUUUAAAUCGCUUUCGCGAGGAACAAUUGGAGGGCAAGUCUGGUGCCAGCAGCCGCGGUAAUUCCAGCUCCAAUAGCGUAUGCUAAAAUUGCUGUAGUUGAAAAGCUCGUAGUUGGAUUUCGGCGCAAAAAGGAUGGGAUGAGAAUUUGGAAACAAAGGACUCGCCUAUCCCUUGAGAUAUCACUGUGGGGGGAGAAGUUUUCAUUUUUUUGAGGAUGAUCUUUCUGCAGGGUCUCUUUGCGCCUUUUUCUUGAAUUUCUCUUCGGAGAGAGACAAGAACGGAUUGGCUGGAAGCUCGCAUGCAUUUCUUCAUUGAUUUGCAUGUUUCUUUGGAUGGAUUUUUAGUUUCGGCUAGGAGUCCGUCCGGGGUUUGUCACUCAAGGGAUUUAUCUUUGAGUGGCAGAGCUCCAGUCCGUUUACCUUGAGCAAAACAGAGUGUUCAAAGCAGGCUUAAACUUGGCAGCAAUGUCGAGGAACGCCUUGCAUGCUUCAGCAUGGGAUAAUGGAACAGGACUAGGUUGGGUCACGCGCAUAUUUUGUUUUGGUUUCAGAGCGUGAGAAAAUAGAAUUAAUCUUCACCCAGCCGGUGAUGAUAGACAGGAAUUGUUGGGGACAUUGGUAUUUAAUUGUCAG
rnacentral:rRNA from 1 species